GUUGUAUAUAUAUGCUAGUGAAGUUAUCUGUGCAUUGCGAUGAGUUAAUAUUAUAGAAGAUAAAAGAUUGACAAAAUUAAAAUUUUAAAAUUUUUUAAUUUGUAAUGAGACAUUAAUAAAUAUAAAUAAAAAAUAUAAAACAGAUAUAUACAAAUGUGGCAAAAGUUACAACAGCAAAUAAAUUAUACAUAACAAUAGUGAAAUAAAUUAUACAUAACAAUAGUGAAAGUUACAACAGCAAAUAGAUAUUCUUUUUUUUAAACGAUUUGUUUAAAAAAAAAAAGAUCAUAUGAAUAUAUUAUUUAGAAAGUGGGCGGGUGGGAAGAUGAAGCAUUGGGUAGAGAUGAGGUGGGAAGGCGAAGCAUCAAAGAGUGUGGAGAGGGGGUGAAGGAAGAACUGCUACAUUGCAAAUUCCAUGAGAAAUAAUUUAUAGGUAUAGAUGUAUAACUAGUCAUUGUUAGAUAUAUGACUAGUCAUUUCCAUCUCUCCAUCUCUCCAUCUCUUACCUCAUAUGUCAAUUUCUU
rnacentral:lncRNA from 1 species